GGGGGGGAGGGGGGGGGGGGAGGGGAGAGAAUUAGACCAACUACAGGAUUGGAACAGAAACAAUCGUGGAACAUAUUCUGGUCUGGUUUCAUAAUAAUGGACAGUUAGUCAGACAACUUGUCCUUAUGCUGAAACAGCCACAUGAGGGGGUCCAUGGAGAGUCAAGAUCAGCGGUUGCCUUCUCCGUCCCGGGGUCACCAUCAGAAACACGUUAGGACAACCGAAACCUAGAUUUUGUUGUACAUAAAAUAUCUUGGUGGUACUGUUCCCACCAGGUUACUGUUCCCACCAGGUUACUGUUCCCACUAUGUUACUGUUCCCACCAGGUUACUGUUCCCACCAGGUUACUGUUCCCACCAGGUUACUGUUCCCACUAUGUUACUGUUCCCACCAGGUUACUGUUCCCACCAGGUUACUGUUCCCACCAGGUUACUGUUCCCACCAGGUUACUGUUCCCACCAGGUUACUGUUCCCACCAGGUUACUGUUCCCACUAUGUUACUGUUCCCACUAUGUUACUGUUCUCACCAGGUUACUGUUCCCACUAUGUUACUGUUCUCACCAGGUUACUGUUCCCACUAUGUUACUGUUCCCACUAUGUUACUGUUCCCACUAUGUUACUGUUCCCACCAGGUUACUGUUCCCCAGGUUACUGUUCCCACUAGGUUACUGUUCCCACCAGGUUACUGUUCCCACUAUGUUACUGUUCCCACCAGGUUACUGUUCCCACUAUGUUACUGUUCCCACUAUGUUACUGUUCCCACUAUGUUACUGUUCCCACCAGGUUACUGUUCCCACUAUGUUACUGUUCCCACUAUGUUAC
ensembl:lncRNA